CAGUAGCCGCGGUAAUACGUAGGGUGCAAGCGUUAAUCGGAAUUACUGGGCGUAAAGCGUGCGCAGGCGGUUAUAUAAGACAGAUGUGAAAUCCCCGGGCUCAACCUGGGAACUGCAUUUGUGACUGUAUAGCUAGAGUACGGCAGAGGGGGAUGGAAUUCCGCGUGUAGCAGUGAAAUGCGUAGAUAUGCGGAGGAACACCGAUGGCGAAGGCAAUCCCCUGGGCCUGUACUGACGCUCAUGCACGAAAGCAUGGGGAGCAAACAGGAUUAGAUACCCCAGUAGUCCCUGUCUCUUAUAC
rnacentral:rRNA from 1 species